AAUGGAGGGGGAGGGGCUCGGGGCUUGAGGGGAGGCGGGAGCCGGGUGUCGGGCCGCGAGGGAGGAAGGAUGGGGAGGGGCGUAUCGAUUCAAACCCAAACAAUAACAAAGCCAUCAAAGGCUGCCCGGGGCCGGCUCGGCGGCUCUGUGUUUUCGGAGGUUUUUGGGUCAAGGGCUCGAGCCGGAGAGCAGAAGGAGCAGCGCCGAGGCGACUGGGCCUGGCGGGGCGGCCGAGCGGGGUGGUCUCCGUGUGACUCAGCCCGGGACCUCCUGGGCGGCUGGGGCGGGCUGACGACAGGCUGCGGGCUCGGGCUCGGUCCUCGGGGGUUGUGUAUUGGGGGGGCGGACCUGCAGGCUGUGAGUCACGGCGGUGUCACGGAGCGAGGGGGUGUCGAGGAGGGGCUCACGGGGAUGGGGGUGUCUCGGGCCCGCAGUCCAGCCUGGGGGGCCAGUCGGCGAGGGAGGGGUCCUGAUCACUGUCGCUUUCGAGCCGGUAGAGAAUAAAUAAAUAACUCGUUCUCCCGAGUCGCCACCAGAUUUCUAUUUUUAAAGAGCAGGGAGGUGCCAGCGAGUCCUGAUGGCUAAGAAGAGAUGAGUGUCAGAGUGCCCGGCAAAAAGGAAAUCACGAAACAAAUGCAAUAAUAGCAAUUAUCGGCAGCCGGGAAUCCGGUCUCAAAGGAAAUCCUCUUCUUCUCCCUGGGAUCUCCUCUUCGUCCCCACCGCCCCCCCACCACCACCCCGUGGAAAAAAUACGGAAAAACCGACUGAUUCGACUUGCCUCCUUUGUCCUUUUAAAGACUUGAAAACGAUGUGUAAAAUGAGUGGAUUAAAUUCUAUGCAAUCCAUAAACUGAACUGUCAAAGUGACCUGUGUCAUUGAAAAUAAGCUAUAUCCCAUUUUCACUUUUUUCUUCAAGUUUUUGCCAUUUAAAGGGGAAAAAAAAAUGAAGAGUUGCUAGGAUUGGACUGCCACAGACAUUAAUUAAUUUAAAUAUUUCAUUGAAAGUUUUCUGCAGUGCUUGUGUUAUAAAGAUGUCCAGAUAUUUCACAACUUUAAUGAAUGUAUCUAGUAAAGCAUUACAUAUUUU